rnacentral:lncRNA from 1 species
CACGAGACAUGCAAACUUCACUAUGAAAAAAAAAAUUUACAAGAGGAGAUCUCACUCUCAACCCUUGUACACCCAAUUCUCUCUCACUAAAAGUUUUUCUCUCAAAAGCUCUCUCUCUCUUGGAAGACCCUCUGAACCCCUGAAGUACCUGAUGUUCGCUAUCCAAAAGCCUCUCUAGAGCCCUACUCUUGCUUCUCUUCUCAGCAUCACAACCCUCUCUCUCUUCUUCGGGUUACGUACGGUGCAUCCACGGGAGAAAACCAAAACCACAGCCACUGUUCCUAUGUACAGGCCUUUUAAAGAGCUUAAACCCAAUUAGAUUAGGUUUAAGACUCCUUAAUCAGCCCAAAUCAAGCCUCUGGACCGUCGGAUC